CGGGUAACAAGCCUUACUCUACAUAGAUAUAAAACGGACAUCACUAUAAUAGAUAUAAAACGGACGUCACUAUAAUAGAUAUCGAACUGACACCACUGCCCUAAACCUUACCUUUACUGUUUCUCAGACAACUCCCACUCUAUAGGAAAUCGGCUACUACCUAAUGGAAUGAAACUCAGCAGUCUCAAUCAGUGCUAGGACACCG
rnacentral:lncRNA from 1 species